GAGAGGGACGGCCUGCGUCGCACGCUGGCGUUUCUCUGAAUUGAAACUAAAGGGGCGCUGGAGGCUGACAAAGUUUGACCUGGCGUUGGGCCUGCACCAUCACCUGUAGCGGCUUUUCGCCUCAGUUCCUUACCCCCUUUGAAGAAUAAGGAAAAACUACUCAGAAAGAAUAAAUAGUAACUUAUAUUUCCACCACCCAGGAACUGUUCUCUUUUGCAUCCAGUAAAAUCUUCUGGAAUUUAGGAGAACUGAACAUUUCUAACACUUAGAGCACGCUUUUAAUGUAGACUUGGCCGUUACUGACGUUACUAUGGACACUUGGCAGAUGAUGAACGUUGCAAUGUUUACGUUUUUACCCAUCUUCGCGUUACUUACUGUGUAAUGGCAACUUGGGCAAAGCAAUCUGUGUCAUGAAACUGUAGGAGUCGCCUUUCAACUUGAAAUUUAUAUAGGUGAUGAAGGAAAGAUGGAAGGCAAUAAGGAAGUUUCCUCCUUUGCAUCUGUUUUGUCAGACUAAGGGCUAUGGUUUGGAUAUGGCUUGUCUCCAGAGGCUCAUGUGCUGGAAAUUUGGUCCAUAAUGCAGUGUUGGGAGGUGAUGCGGCUUUUAGGACGUGGGGUCAGCUUCACAGAAGGAAAUGAAAGGGAGAGAGUGUACCGAGAAGAGUGUCAGAGGUGUCGACAGCUUGUCCUUUGCUACAGCGCUGCUCCAGUUUCUUCACCCUCUCAAACUCGUUUCUGCUUGAGUGAAUUUCCAGAGUGAUACCUGACUGUUUGAUCCUCCUUUCCAUUAUUGAUUGCUAUAUGACAAACCAAC